UAAGAAACUUGUAUUUCCUGUUGUCUCAGUAUCUGAAUGUUUGUUGUUUUUUGUUUUUGAAGAUUUUGGUGGUUAUGGCAAAUCUUACAGCAAUGAGAGGUAUAAUGGGCUGCAGGUUGGAUGAGUUACAGUCAUCUGCAACAUGACAUACCAUAUCAGACUUCUUCCUUGUCAUUGAUCUCAGACACAGACACCUUGACGGUUCAUGGAGAGAGUACACCAACCUGCUGAUGCAACAAAUAUUGAUGACUUUACUGACUUGUAUUUGUCGUCUUUCGACAUUUGCAGAGCACGCGGAUGAAUUCCAGUUCUAGUGACAAUGUACCUAUUUUGUCAACAUUCAACAGCCUGAUUAUUGAGAUCUUUCUUCAACUCAGGAAAUGAAGAGCACCCCGUUGGACAUUUUUUCUU
rnacentral:lncRNA from 1 species